rnacentral:lncRNA from 1 species
AUGACCUUGGUUUUGAGUUGGAGUCAGAAAGGGAGAAAGCAGAACCUAGAAAUGUGCUGCUUAAAUAUCAUGAUGUCCAAAAAAGUCUAUUAGUCUUUUAAUGCAUGAUUCACACUUUCUGCAGUGACAAUUUAGAAAUUUAAACAUGUGUCGAUGAUCCUUUGAUUUGGUUUGUGCAAUCAUCCAGAAUGUAGUACUGAUUCAGUUUCUUGGAUUCUAGUUUUUACUCUGUAAUGUCUCUUCCACAAUAGAAAAUGAGGACAUUUGGAUCUACAUGUUACUUUUGGCAUCUUUUUACUGCUUCUAACCUCGUGAAAAUGUAUUAAAUCAUCAAGAAAAUGCCUUGUGUGUUUUGAUGUCCUUAAUGAAAAUUUUUCGCCUCCCUCCAUAAGGUAAGAGACAUAAAUUUCCUUGACCAUUUAGACCUUUUUCUGUGAUUACUUGUAUUGUUGUGUAAACUGUAAAGUAUAAACAUCCCACUCUUCUAGAGGUGGUAAAAUAACACCUUGGAAAAGCGGUAUGUUGUUACUUUAUUUCUCUUUAUGAAAGCAUUCAUAAAACUAUUUGAAGUUCCACUUUUGAGCGGGAACUAACCUAUUGUAUUGUGAAGACCAAGUCAGAGAAAGAUGAGUAUCUACACAUGAUUAAACGUGGCCACUUGAGCAUCAUUGUUGGAACUCAUUCAUUACUUGGCAGUCGUGUUGUAUACAACAAUCUCGGCCUUCUUGUUGUCGAUGAGGAACAGGUUUUCCCUCUUCCUAUCUUCUAGUGUAUAUUUAGUCGUUUGGGCAUUAUAAUGCAUUGAAAGGCGAUGAAGGAGGAAAAUCUUUUAUAUUCAAUAUUCAGGAAUAUUUGAAAAACUUUAAUCCCCUUUUAUACGAAUGAGAUUUAAGUUAGGGAACUUCUAAUAAAUAACAACUAUUAAAAUAAAAAAUCCUAGUUAAUCAAAAAAUUGAAAACCACUGUAAUCUUGUCUAGGUCCUCAUGGAAUAGACUUUUGGUUAUUUCUCAUCUCCAGGUCAAGUGAUGUGACAUGCCUAAUAAGACGUGUUCACUCUUUUGUUACUAUGGGCACUACCAAAAUCUCCUGCUCAGACUCUUUGAAAUGAUAGAAGUAUUCGUGUUGGAUACGACAUAAUAUGGGUAUGAGUUAUGUGUCGGAUCCUCCAAAUUUCAACUGGACACUUUGCAAUUUUUGCUUCUUUUUUCUUCUUCUUCUUUCUUCAUUUUCUCUUUUCCUUUUCUUUCUCAUUUCUAGGUCUGGGUAAAAAAAUCGAAAAACCGAUCAAACCAAUCAAACAGAACUGACUCAGGUCGAUUUGGGUUGGGUUGAUAUGGAUAAUUGGUUUGAUUUUUUUUCGUUUACAUAAGACCAUGGUGGUUUUGUUUGGUCAUGGUUUGAAGUCUCAAAUAGCUGGUUAACCAAACAAAUCCAAUCCACUUACAUGUUUACCUAUUUUUUAGGAAAAACAAAAAUCAAAGGAUAGGAUUUCAUAACUAUAUCAUGAUUCCUUUCAAUCUAUGAUGAUGUCGGUAAGUGAUAGUACUGAAGAUUUUCUUUCACAAGCUUAUUAUGUUAUACUUAGCCUUUUUUCCUACUCAGACAGUUAAGGUACAUAAUGUAUAAAUAGGCGACAAAAUUCUUAAGUUUUUUCUUGAUCUCUCUAUUAACCAAUGAUGCUCGGACUCUUAAAAAAUGGCGAAGUACCCGUGUUGACACGACAUGACAUGGAUAUCGACACGGGAUAUGUGUCGGAUUCUCAGUUUUGAACUCGGACAUGGUUGGAAAAGGGAGAAAACAAUGGACGGUGAAGUAUUGCUUCUGGCUUGCACUUGUAGCAGCAACAACCAUUUGUUUCGAGUCUUUUGAUAGAAAUAUGUAGAAAUUUAUGGAAGAUUGCAGCAACAUUUGCAAAAUUUUGCAGAAAGGGUGGAGCCCAAUGAAGAAGUUAAUGAUAUGAGGGAAUUUCCAUAACUCGUUGGGCUACCCUUCAGUAAGUGUAUUUUUUCAAUAAAAAAAGAAAAAGAAGAAGAAAGAAAUGAAAGAAUUAAGUGGUUUAAAAGUCAAUAAUUCAUACUGCCAUAAAUUAGGAGUUAUCUUUAAAGGUUUUAUUAUUUAUUGUAAAUGGCAUGAUUUGUUGUUUGCUUUAAUUGAAUCAUUUUUUUAGGAAAAAAAUUAUAAGACGUAUCCCCAUACCUGUAUCCAAAAUUCGGAUCUUUUUUGAUCGUAUCCCUAUAUCUUAAUUUUUAAAAUGAGAAGAAUCCGACUCCUAAAUAUGUAUUUGUAUCCGACACUCGCACCCGAGUCCGAGCAUCAUAGCUAAUUUUAUUUGUUAGUCAAUAAUUCUUAUAAUAUAAAAUUAUUUAGUUAUUUUAAAUCUUGUAAUCUAAUUAGGCCAAAACUUGGACAAUUUAAAAAAAAAAUAAAAUAAAAUAAAAAAAUUCAAUUUGCACUAAAAAUCCAAACCCACCAACCGAACCGAACCGAACCGAAUCGAUUUGGUUCGGUUCGGUUUAAGAGUUAGAGUAGGUUGGUUUGGAUUGAAAUUUGUCCAAACCGAUUAAUUUGGUUUUGGUUUCGGGUUUGAGUUGAAACCAACUCAAACCAAACCGUGCCCAGACAUAUUCAUUUUUGCUUUCUAUAAACUUAGCGCCGACUCCGAAAGGGUGGAGAAAGAUAACGGCGCUAAGUUUUCCCUUCUUCUUCUUUCUUUAUUCUUUCCCUUUCCUUCUUUGCUUUCCUUCUUUCCUUCUCUUUAUCGACAGUCUAAGGUUUUGUUUGUAUAAAAUAAAAGGAUUUUUCCAUUUGUACAGAAGCAAGGUUCACAAAACCUUGCUAGUAAACUCAUAGUUUAUGAUGCCACCCAAAUAAAAAAUGGCCAAAAAAUAACCCACCCCCUUUGUGAGUACGUGUACACCUAGUAGGCCCAAAAUGAAAAUGGGUUCCAUAUAGUAUUAUUCAGAGCUCUAUUAAGUCCUAAUUGCAAUCAAGUCUCAUUCUUAUAAUAUAAAAUUAUUUAGUUAUUUUAAAUCUUGUAAUCUAAUUAGGCCAAAACUUGGACAAUUUAAAAAAAAAAUAAAAUAAAAUAAAAAAAUUCAAUUUGCACUAAAAAUCCAAACCCACCAACCGAACCGAACCGAACCGAAUCGAUUUGGUUCGGUUCGGUUUAAGAGUUAGAGUAGGUUGGUUUGGAUUGAAAUUUGUCCAAACCGAUUAAUUUGGUUUUGGUUUCGGGUUUGAGUUGAAACCAACUCAAACCAAACCGUGCCCAGACAUAUUCAUUUUUGCUUUCUAUAAACUUAGCGCCGACUCCGAAAGGGUGGAGAAAGAUAACGGCGCUAAGUUUUCCCUUCUUCUUCUUUCUUUAUUCUUUCCCUUUCCUUCUUUGCUUUCCUUCUUUCCUUCUCUUUAUCGACAGUCUAAAGUUUUGUUUGUAUAAAAUAAAAGGAUUUUUCCAUUUGUACAGAAGCAAGGUUCACAAAACCUUGCUAGUAAACUCAUAGUUUAUGAUGCCACCCAAAUAAAAAAUGGCCAAAAAAUAACCCACCCCCUUUGUGAGUACCUGUACACCUAGUAGGCCCAAAAUGAAAAUGGGUUCCAUAUAGUAUUAUUCAGAGCUCUAUUAAGUCCUAAUUGCAAUCAAGUCUCUUAUUUUCUAUUUUAUAUAACAUUUAGUAAUUAACUUCCCAUAAUUGAAAACUAAAUCCCAAAAUUAUAUUUUAUUCAUCUUAACCCCAUAUUCAAUACUUAUUUCCUUCUUUGUGAACAAUUGAUUUUGGUCUAUUCAAAAUGACAUCUUGGUUUAGUAAAAAAAUUGAAACUUGAAAGAGGUAUCCACGUAUCCGUAUUCAAAAUUUGAGUUGUUUUUGGCGAUGUCUCUGUAUCCUAAAUUUUAGAAAAUAAAAUAUUCGACACUUAAAUAUGUACUCAUACUUGAUACCCGUACCCAAGUUCAAGCAUCACCAAAUGCUCUAGAAGGAAAGUUCAUUGAAGUGACCAUAGAAUACAAUUUUGACUCUUCUCCUCUAUGUUUUCCUCUUUAGUAAUACAAUAUUAUUUUGAUGAACUUACUUCAUCCUGACAUUUAUAUCACACAGAAAUUUAUACAAAAUUAUUAGUUGUACUAAAUUUAUUGUGUUUCGUCAUUUAUAUAUUCUAUAUUAAGUGCCAACUGUCUGAACAAUGAAGUCAAAGGUGCGUAUUAGGUAAGUUAGAGGGUAAAAUUUUGACAUGCUACACAACUUAGGAUGGUGUUGACUUGUUCAAUACCCUUUUUUACAGAGGUUUGGCGUAAAACAAAAGGAAAAAAUUGCAUCAUUCAAAACUUCAGUUGACGUCCUCACACUUUCAGCGACACCUAUUCCAAGAACCCUUUAUUUAGCAUUGACUGGGUUCCGUGAUGCCAGGUGAUUUCUAUUUUAAUCCUUGAUCUGUUCAGUCAUUCGGACAAUGUUUCAUUCAACUAUUGUAUUAUCUGGAUAAAUCAUGUAACUGUGAGAGUGGGUAAACAUGGGUGGAUAUUUUCUGAUUGAAUAAAUCUGGCUCGCUGUCUCGUCCAAUUUGGCAUCCAAAAUUGAUUUUGAAUUCUGAUGCAUGCCUUUUUUAGGACUUUAUUUUGGAUGAUAACAGUUUGUCUUGACUUUUUUUGUAAUGUACUUCCCUCAAUCUUACACAUUUUAUUUUUUUACUUGAAGUCUAAUAUCAACACCCCCUCCAGAGAGGGUACCAAUAAGAACCCAUCUUUCAUCAUAUUCCAAAGAAAAAGUGAUAUCAGCGAUAAAUUAUGAGCUGGACCGCGGUGGCCAGGUUUUUUAUGUUUUGCCUCGUAUUAAAGGUAACCUGAUUUUCUUUUUUUACCUUUCUAUGUAUGAUUGAAACUCAUAUUAUAAAUAAUUUUCAUAUACUGGAUUAUAAGGAAAGAUUUCAUUGCCAUGCACAGGGCUUGAAGAGAUCAUGGAAUUUCUGGAACAAUCAUUUCCACAUGUUGAAAUAGCAAUAGCUCAUGGAAAGGUAACUUUUCUAUUGAUAUUACAUUUAUAUUGGCCUAUUUAUAUAUAAACUGAAUACUUGAAACUUCAAAUUAUGGAAAACAGUGCAGUCCCCUUAUGUCGGACAGUUCAUCUUUCAAAUACAAUUAAAGCAUAGUACAAUUUGCUUUCUUUGUAAGAGAUGCAAAUACUUGUACUAUUAUCUAUUGUGUUCCAAAUUUGAGGGUAACAUUUUAGUUCCUUGAACUAGAUGUGUCAAAACUAUAUUCCAUAGUUGGAAAAAGGUGUAUGCUUUAGUAAAGGUCUAGUUGAAAAUGUUCUCCUGUAUUAAGACUUCCCCACCUUGCACCAAUCAGUUGACUUAUUGAACAAUAAACCAAGAACAUUUCCAGAAAAAAAGGUUUAUGAGGUCGGUAAUCUGAAGUUCUUGUUUUCCAAGUUAUAAAUAGAUAAUUAAAUUUCUGAGUCUUCAUGAACUAUGCUUAUGCACUGGAGUCAGGAGGCAAUCGCAAGCCACAACAAGUUAAAACUGGUAGACGGGUGCUUUAGGUAUUGUUGCCAUAUAUUCAGGACACUUCAAAUUGUCCUUUUGAUUUCUCAUGUAAUUAUGCAUCACUUGACGAAUUAGUUGAUACUUAAGUCCUGCACAAGAGCAGAAAUCAGAUUGUAUAAGUUGUUAAUUUUCAUAAUUUUGGUAUUUUUAACUUAUACUAGUCAGAGUUAAACCUGCAUUGCUCUAAAAGUAAUAUUUGAAGAAGAAUAUUAAUUAAAUGAAUGUGAAUGUUAAUUAACAGCGAGUUAAUAAGAGGUAAUACAUGCAUGAACAAGGAUUUUAUAGUAUUUAUUACAUUUUGUAAUUGUGUUUCAUGUGGUGAAAGCACACAAGUGAAAUAAAUCUGACAAAUGUACAUUGAUGAUAACUAAAUAAUUUGCAAAAUAAUUCAUGAAAUAUUGUGCAAAUGUUUAAAGAAAAUAUGAUACAUGAAUUAACGUAAAUGUUAAUUGAUUUAGAAUUAAUAUCAAGGAAUAUAUACAUGACAAUGAAUGUUAAAUUAUUUAUACUAAAUGAAUAUGAUUUAAUUUCCAAUUAACUAAAACGGUAUGCUAAUUAGCAUGCAUGGACGUGAAUAAUGAAAUGCAUUCUUGAAUGUGAAGUUCUAAUUAACUUAUAAUUAGAAUUAAUAACACUAAAAAUGCAUAAAUGAAUAUGAAUAUUAAUUAAAUGAAUGUGAAUGCUAAUGAAUUGAGAAUUAAUAACAAGAAUUCAUACAUGAACAAGAAUUUUGUACUACUUAUUACAGUUUGUAAUUGGGUUUCAUGUGGUGAAAGCAUACAAGUGAAAUGAAUAUGUCAAAUGUGCAUUGAUGGUGACUAAAUAGUUGGCAUAAUUCAUGAUAAUAUUGUUCAAAUGGUUAAUAAAUUAAAUACGUAUUGAAAAAAGAAAAAUAAGUUAUUAUUAAGCCCCCGUUUGGCCCCAUUAAAUCUCACCAAAUUAAAUUAAAUUUUUCUCUCUCCUAUUUUCAACCACACAAUUUUCAAUAAAAUAAUAUUACAUAUAAAUUGGGAAUUGUCAAAGGUAUGUAAAUUUCAUGAUCUUCAUUUCAUCUAGGUCUUGUUUUCCAUAAUGAUAAAACUAGACUGUUUUGUGUUGCAUGACUAGUUAGUUCGGAGCUUAUUGGCUUUGUGAAUUGAAAUAGUUCUUUCUGGACUCUUUUUUAAUUUAUUUGGAAAUAGUGGUGAUUUAUCCUUGAUUAUCGAACUUCCCAAAUUGCUCUAAUUUCUAAUCAAUAGCCUUAAAAACUGUUUUGAUUGUUUUCUAGGUUGAUGAACAUCGUGUAGUUUCAGUUCCUUACCAGUCAGUGCAGGUAUUGCUUACUCUAAUACAGAUGUCGUUCAAGAAAUUGUUCUGUUUGUCUUCAACUAACUUGCCUAAGUAGUGUGCGACCAAAAUCUUCAGUUUUGUUGGAUUUGAUUGGUUUCAGUCUCUUAAAUUUUAAGUAUCCUAGUAUCAAAUUUUGCUAGUGGAUCUGUUGAAAAUAUGUGAUAUAUCCUUCAGAUUGGAAUGAUACCAAUUCUCUAUUUGAUGGGGGGGAAAACCUUUCAAUCUUCUGAAAAUUCAUUAAAGUGUGAUUGGUCGGUCCAAGGAUUGAAGUGCAAAGGGGACUGGAAAUUUUUUUGGAACAUAAGUCACCAGUUCUAGAUGUGCAAGUGCUUAGACAGAGAGAGAACAAAAAAUAUAGUACAUCUUACAUAAGAUUUAUAUAUGCAUGCAAACAAGAGAUGAUGUCUACAAAGUUGUGUUAAUAGAAUUUCAAGAAGUUGAGAAUCCUGCUGGUAUUCUAUUUGGUUAGAGGUAGGGUGACUAGCUUUUGGCUUUUGUGCAUUUGGACAUGAUGAAGCAUGUUCUUGUGUACACUAAGUCCUGAAAUAGUUGACUAAAACAUGAAUUUCACAACUGAAAAUAAAAAAAAAUAAAAAAAAAAAUGAGGAAAGAAAUAAGCAGAUUUGAUGGCAAACUUCUUUUGAAAAUUCUUAGAAAUGCAAAUUUAGCCCCCGUUUGACCCCCAUUUUGUAGAAAUGGAAAUGAGUGGAAUGAUAUUUUUUUGAAAAAUGAGUGGUUGAAAAUGAAGGAAAAGUUUUUGAUUUACGUAUAAUAUUAUUUUAUGGAAAAUUGUGUGGUUGAAAAUAAGAGAGAGAAAAAUGAAAUGGAAAUUAAUGGGGACCAAACUGGGGCUUAGUGUUGGUGUGCAGACCAUCCUAUGCAAAUCCUGUGACUUAUGGUCAUUUGCUGGAUGACUGUUUGGUUUUAUGACCUUGGUUUUGAGUUGGAGUCAGAAAGGGAGAAAGCAGAACCUAGAAAUGUGCUGCUUAAAUAUCAUGAUGUCCAAAAAAGUCUAUUAGUCUUUUAAUGCAUGAUUCACACUUUCUGCAGUGACAAUUUAGAAAUUUAAACAUGUGUCGAUGAUCCUUUGAUUUGGUUUGUGCAAUCAUCCAGAAUGUAGUACUGAUUCAGUUUCUUGGAUUCUAGUUUUUACUCUGUAAUGUCUCUUCCACAAUAGAAAAUUCAUUUUUAGAAUACUCUUGCC